rnacentral:misc_RNA from 1 species
UCAACCCUCAAGCAUUGCUUGGUGUUGGGCGGGGUCAUAGGGGGACCCUCCCGCAAUUCGUAGGCAGUCAUCGCCCAUGCUCCAGCGUAGCAGGCUUUACGCACUCGUUCGGGCAUCGGCGAGAGUCCGCCCAAAUCCAAACUUCAAG